UACGUAGGGUGCAAGCGUUGUCCGGAAUUAUUGGGCGUAAAGAGCUUGUAGGCGGUUUGUCGCGUCUGCUGUGAAAAUCCGGGGCUCAACCCCGGACUUGCAGUGGGUACGGGCAGACUGGAGUGUGGUAGGGGAGACUGGAAUUCCUGGUGUAGCGGUGGAAUGCGCAGAUAUCAGGAGGAACACCGAUGGCGAAGGCAGGUCUCUGGGCCACUACUGACGCUGAGAAGCGAAAGCAUGGGGAGCGAACAGG
rnacentral:rRNA from 1 species